AUUGAACGCUGGCGGCAGGCCUAACACAUGCAAGUCGAGCGAGCGGCGGACGGGUGAGUAAUGUAUGGGGACUGCCCGAUAGAGGGGGAUAACUACUGGAAACGGUAGCUAAUACCGCAUACUAUCGGAUAACCCAUAUGGGAUUAGCUAGUUGGUGAGGUAAUGGCUCACCAAGGCGACGAUCCCUAGCUGGUCUGAGAGGAUGAGCAGACACACUGGGACGGUGACAAGGCCCAGAGGCCGACGGAGGGAGCAUUGGGCAAUAUUGGCCAAUGGGCGCAGGCCUGAUGCAGCCAUGGCGCGUGUAUGAAGAAGGCCCUAGGGUUGUAAACCUCUUUCGCUAUCGGACGGGUAGGUGGAGAAGAAGCGCCGGCUAACUACGUGCCAGCAGCCGCGGUAAUUC
rnacentral:rRNA from 1 species